rnacentral:lncRNA from 1 species
GUAAAAGUAGGACUGUCCUGCAUUAAUUUACUGCCAGGUUUUUUUUGUUUGUUAGUUUUUCAGAACUCUACAGACUUGUCCAUGAAUGGUCAAGAAGACAGCUUGUGUCCUCAAUAGCACACAGAAGCCUAAGGAGCUAGGAUUCCUUGAGAAUUGCAUUUUGGCUCCUCAGUCCCACUGGCAAGACAUACUUCACCAGGCCUCAGGCUCCAGAAAAAACAUUCUUCCACAGUGCUGCAACGCCUGGUAGAAAAUCCAGCAAUUUCAGAAAGCCUGAAAAAGUCUGGCAUGUUUUCUGGAACAAGGAAGAGAACUACUGUCCUGAUAACCACACUGAGAGGGCCAGCUGUCUCGGGAAAGCCAUAGGUAAAAUGGCCCAUCUGCUCGCUUGCUCAUGAAGACUUCUAACAGACGUUUAGAGAAGAGGGUCCUCUGUAGAGCCUCAAGACCUACACAGUGACAAUGGACUGUAUGUUCGGAAGACAAGCAGAUGCUGAUCAGUAAGACAACCCAAUCUUCCACCACAACCCAGGCCAGUCAGUUUGAUAGCUUUAGCUAUAUUAUCUCUUUUUCUGUGAAGACUACCUAGCAGAAGCAUAGCAGAAUCUAGCACAAAAAAGGAUCUCUUUUUAAAUCUUCAGUUUAUUCCUAAAUGUGUUUCUUCCUGAGGUACAGUAGCCAACAUCUGUAUUUAGGGAAGUUUCAUCCCAUGAUGGAACUUUAAAUAUAAACUUCAAAGAUGUGUCAUUAGUCUUGCAAAGGUUCACCACCAAUGGAUUACUCUGCUCUCUUUCUUACAAGAAAGCCUGAAAAAGCUGUGAGUUGGGAAGAGAGUCAGAUUUCACAGCAGAAAGCAGCAUUGCAACCAUGAAAACUAGCUCUAGAGACACCUUUUGGCAGUUUCAUUAGUUUCAUUGGCUUGCAGAGGGAGAAAAGGAUGGCCCAGCAGACAAGAGGAAUCUUAGACACAUUCUAGGGAACACUUAUUUCUCAAGUUUCCCUAAUACUUGUGAAACCUUACUUUAUGAAAAAAAGUAAGGCCUUAAAUUGUGACUGUUCCUCACUAAAUAUGAGCCUUAAUACUUACAAAUUAAACAAUAAAAGUCAGAACCAUUUAUCA